GGAUAUUAGAUUCUUGUUAGAGAUGGAUUUAUAUUUUCAUAUGAAAAAAAUAAAUUUUCGGGCGAAGAGAUCAAAAUAAACAUGAAACUCUUAACUUUCUUAUUUAGAAAUAAAAUUCUAAAUUUGUAUGAAAUUUUCAGAGACAGAAUUAAACAUAGAUCAACUUAUGAUUGUAAGUGACUACUAAAGUACAAGGUUUCUCGACCCAAGUUGAGAGAGAACCAAUGGACCAUGCAUCUUUAAUUAGCUUACAACAACUAUUAUCUAACUCCGGAAUGACACAAUCAAAAGGAUCGCCUUAACACCUCUUCAUGCUACCAGGAGCUAAGCUGGAACUUGAAACAUCAUGGCUAGUGUUGAGCGAGAAACCCAUGACAAACCAAAUGUCUUCAGUCUAAUAGUAGCAAAAACAAUGAAACUUUGUAUGAUGCUUCCAGAUCAUCAGUGAAAUUGCUUGAAACUCAGCUCGCACCUAUACACAUGCACAAUCAUUAUGCAUGUCCAAAUUAUUUACACUCAAGCUAACCAAAUCAACAAUAGUGACAUCCUAUACUAUUUAAAACAUACCAUUCUUAUUAUUAUCAACAUCAAGUGUGGUACCCUUGCUAACCAGUCACGUAAAAGCCUCAAUCCGGCAACACUAAUCAAUGCAAAAAAUAGGCAUCGUUACCCAUAAUUAAAUACAAAGAAAAAUACUGAAAUUUUGAAACAUGUAUAAUCUAAUAGCAUCAGUAAGAACGGCUACUACAUUACAUACCAUCUCCAUAGCACAUUAUGCUGUCAUGACGCUCCAAUUAAGCCUAAAACACAUAAAAUUUUAGUUUUUAGAUCAAGACUGAUACGAUAGUGAUGUGAUUUUAAUGAAAAAUAAUAUAGGAAAUACUCAAUUUUGACCAUGGAUAAAUUUUAUAAUACAUGAAUAGAUGAUUAAGGGGUUGGGGCAUGACAAGUAAAUUGAUACUUAGUAGAGUGUUUCUUGGUUAAUAAAUUGUAAUAAAAAUUAUAUAAAAUUGCAUGAAUUGGAUAAUCAUAUACAACCAACUAGUCGUACACAUUGUAAUGAACAAAAUCAAAUAAUUAUAAAAAUACUUAUGAUGAAAGUAAACCAAUCACUAUACCUCAUAAAUUUGAAAUCAAGUUGUAAAUCAAUGAAUAAUUUUAUCUUUCCGAAGCCUUCCAUUCCAUCUCCUAUAUGUUGGAUUUGAAAUAAUCGAAUUUGUUCAAGGAACAAACAUCAAAUCUAAAAAUGUGAGUUACAUAUCAUACCUAUACAUAUCAUACCAAAAUAACUUUUCACUGGAAGAAGAGAUAAAACUUAUGUCACAUACCUAAUUCUGCAAUGUGAUUGUCAUUCGUUUCUUCUUCCAUUUAAAAGAGCAAAUAAAAUAUUUAGCCCCAAGUACGAGGCACACCCGCG
rnacentral:lncRNA from 1 species